CCUACGGGUGGCUGCAGCGGGGAAUAUUGCACAAUGGGCGCAAGCCUGAUGCAGCCACGCCGCGUGUGUGAAGAAGGCCUUCGGGUUGUAAAGCACUUUCAGCGGGGAGGAAGGCGGUGAGGUUAAUAACCUGAUCGAUUGACGUUACCUGAAGAAGAAGCACCGGCUAACUCCGUGCCAGCAGCCGCGGUAAUACGGAGGGUGCAAGCGUUAAUCGGAAUUACUGGGCGUAAAGCGCACGCAGGCGGUCUGUCAAGUCGGAUGUGAAAUCCCCGGGCUCAACCGGGGAGCUGCAUUCGAAACUGGCAGGCUAGAGUCUUGUAGAGGAGAGUAGAAUUCCAGGUGUAGCGGUGAAAUGCGUAGAGAUCUGGAGGAAUACCGGUGGCGAAGGCGGCCCCCUGGACAAAGACUGACGCUCAGGUGCGAAAGCGUGGGGAGCAAACAGGAUUAGAUACCCCUGUAGUC
rnacentral:rRNA from 1 species